rnacentral:rRNA from 1 species
CCUACGGGCGGCAGCAGUGAGGAAUAUUGGUCAAUGGGCGGAAGCCUGAACCAGCCAAGUAGCGUGCAGGAUGACGGCCCUACGGGUUGUAAACUGCUUUUAUACGGGAAUAACGCGCCUUACGUGUAGGGCUUUGCAUGUACCGUAUGAAUAAGGACCGGCUAAUUCCGUGCCAGCAGCCGCCGUAAUACGGAGGAUCCGAGCGUUAUCCGGAUUCAUUGGGUUUAAAGGGUGCGUAGGUUGUUUUAUAAGUUAGCGGUGAAAUACCGAUGCUCAACAUCGGGGCUGCCGCUGAUACUGUAGGACUAGAGAUCGGAUGCAGCAGGCGGAAUGUGUAGUGUAGCGGUGAAAUGCAUAGAUAUUACACAGAACACCGAUUGCGAAGGCAGCUUGCUAGGCCGGAUCUGACACUGAUGCACGAAAGCGUGGGGAUCGAACAGGAUUAGAUACCCUUGUAGUC